GUUUUUUAAUUAAAAAAUAUAAAUCAUAAAUGAUAUUAGCUUUUCUCCUCAUUUACAGAACGGCGACUUUGCCGACCUUAAAAAAUAAAUUACAGAUCGACAUUUUUUCUUCCCAACAUAACCGUCCUCUCCGUCGACUCACUCAUCGUCCCUACCGGUAUCGAUAUCACCGCAUCAGAGACACGCACUCCACCGUCAACAUCGACGUCUCUCUCCCCUUCACCGGCGAGGAAAAUCAACCUCACAUAGAUGAAGAAGGCGAAGAUGAAAUGAAAGAAUCGGAGAGAUGUGUGUUUCCUAAUUGAACCUCAGACAGGUCUUCAAGCCAUUACAGAUAAUAAUGGGUUUCUAUCAAGUAAACACAUUAGUCUUUUAAUCUGGAUCAGUUCCGACUUUCAUGUGACGCUCUGAACUCUCAAAUGAAUUGGAUCUCGCAAUGGACUUUAUAUAUGAAAAGAGUUGUGAAGAUUAAACUCGAAGAUGAAAUUUAUAUCUUCACCUUAGAAUUUGUCUAAAAUCACCACCAAGAAGCACUGUUUUUCCACCAAAGGGUUUGUUUGCUGCAUCUGGAUCUGCCACUGAGAGUACAUCUCGCAAACUCUUAUCAACAGCUUCAAAUGCAAAUCGAUGGCACAUGGGUGCUUCAUCCCAAAUGAUGAGAUCUGUUUUUUCCAGUAAUUCUGCAAGCAUGGAACCACGACUUAUGUUACAAAUACUGUCUUGAUGAAGAUCUACCGGAAUCUUGAAACGCGAAUGUGCAGUUCUACCGUUAGGUAAAAGUGUAGCUGCAAUCCCGGAUGAAGCUACUGGUAUGUCGUCAGCUAGUUGACGCCAACAAUGCUCCCAUAAACUAAGAGGGCUACUUACUUCGCAGUAAAGUAACAAUGUCACAAAGAGAUGACGAAGCUGAAAAGGAUAUGCAUAUUGUGCUGCUUCGUCCAUAGCCUCCUUCCAUUCAGAAUCACCAUUCAACAUCCCUCUAGCAUAACAUGCCGCCUUGAAUGUCUUAUAUUUAACAUUAUCAACGGUUAGUAAAUCAUCAAAGCUUGUUGGCCCUUUUUCUGUAUUCAGCAGCAUUCUCAAGUAAUAUAAGUCUCCUGCUGUCGGAUGAAUGUUUACUAUUCUUCCUAUGCUGAAUCCUUGCUUUCUUUUUGACCAUGUUUUCGCAUCUGCAUCCCACACGUAAUAUGAAGGGAAUUGGAUAUAUGUAAGUUUUCUUGCUUCAGGACACCGUUUGUUCAUCUCAAAUCAUUCAGUUUUCGUUCAUGUAUAUCGAAUGCAAAAAUUCGCCAAGUAGCUUCACAUGCAGAGAGGAGUGCGAGAUUGUGAGGCACAACAUAGCUGUUAUCAAGCUUUGUAUUUCCCUUCAUGACAAAUUUACUUUCGUCAGAUCUCCUUCGAUAAGUAAUGUAGCCAGUUUCACCAAUAUUUGUGUUAUUGUUGUACGGUCUUGGAAACUUUUUGGUGCAUUUGUUAUCAUCCAUACAUUUGGGCCCACAUGGUCCAUGCAUCAUAAAUUGUUCAACCAAUAAGAAACCUUCUGGAUCAUUCUCCUUA